AUAUCAAUAAGCGGAGGAAAGAACAUAUACAAGGAUUCCCCUAGUAACUGCGAGUGAAGCGGGAAAAGCUCAAAUUUAAAAUCUGGUGGUCCUUUGGCCAUCCGAGUUGUAAUUUAGAGAAGCGUCUUCCGCGCUGGACCGUGCAUAAGUCUCCUGGAAUGGAGCGCACAGAGGAG
rnacentral:rRNA from 1 species